UGUUUUCAGAGGACCGGGAAGCGUCUAGUUUUGGAAAUCCUCCUUUGCCUUUGCUCACCACUCGAGGAUCAGCUUCUGGGAUGUCACCCUCCUCGUCAGACUCUGAGUCAGAGGAGCUGGAUGAAGAUGAAGAUGAAGAUGAAUCAUCCCUCACUUCCUGGCCCUCCCGAUCAGCUUCUGAAUCAGAACCCUGUUUUCCCAAUGGAGACGAAACUUUUUGAGGAAACUCUACCAAAGUCUUUCUUGACAAAAAUUUCGGGAGCCCUUCAUUUGUGAACACCAUGCUGUCAUCGGGGCUGGGGCUAGCUACCAUCUUGCCUUUAUUCACAACUGAUGGAUAAGAACUGGGUGAAGCACAGGCCCGUCUCCUCUCCGGGACUCAGAAGGACGCGUGCCAUGAUGACCUGUAGCUGCCACCAGAAACUGCUUUACCAAAGUCCCAGGAUCCACCUCAGGUCUGCAUUCAACAGUACAGCAACAAUGUCACUGAGAAGAUAACACUAUGAUAAAAAGGAAAAAUGGCUCUCACUCUGAA